rnacentral:rRNA from 1 species
UACGUAUGGUGCAAGCGUUAUCCGGAUUUACUGGGUGUAAAGGGAGCGCAGGCGGCGAGGCAAGCCUGAUGUGAAAACCCGGGGCUCAACUCCGGGAUUGCAUUGGGAACUGUUUUGCUAGAGUGUCGGAGAGGUAAGCGGAAUUCCUGGUGUAGCGGUGAAAUGCUUAGAUAUCAGGAGGAACACCGGUGGCGAAGGCGGCUUACUGGACGACUACUGACGCUGAGGCUCGAAAGCGUGGGGAG